rnacentral:lncRNA from 1 species
AGCUGUUUAGGAGCUUAUUUUGCCAAACACUUUGAAGGAGCUUAUAAGCUGUUUUGAGGAGCUUAUAAGCUGAGCCAAACACCCUCUAAAGGUUUCCGCAAACCGAGACACAAAUACGCCUUUCUUGUACCAAAAUUUCAGCAUCUAUAGUACUAAAUUGAAUAAAAUGAUAAUACAUUUAGUUUCGUAAAAGAGGAACAUGUAUGCUUUACAUGAAAAUCUAAAAGAAUGUGUAAUCUACAUAUCUUGAACAAGGAAAUAACCAAUCAAUAGAAAUUUGGGUUUUCUGUGUGUUAAAGAAUCCCAAGAUUAGAGAGGUCCUUUCGUAAUGAAUCUGCAGUUUUGAAGUGGAUACCAUUGAAGCCAGCAUGAAGCGCAGCCUCAACAUUUUUCAUCCUGCUAAGAAGAAUAGAAUAAGCUAGCUUGUAUUCAUAUCUACGCUAAUAGCCAAAACUUUACAUGAACUUCCUAUCAAUCAGAUUCAAGCAAAUUGCAAGCAUUCCCAUUCAAUUACUAGUACCACAAUAAUUUCACGAACCUAAACUACUACUAUGUCUGUUUUAUCAGAGGCUUGACUUUAGAAUCACGCGGUAUCAUAGAAAGCAAAUGGAGAAGAACUAUCAAGCUAACACCAUAAGAGUCGUCUACUACAGUGUUAUGUCUGUUCACUAAAACAUUUUAAGCCUAAUAUUCUGAAACUAGUGACGCCAACCUCAUUUUGCAUCUAAUUUGGAGAUUUUAUAGCUUAUUUUCCUGCUUGGGACUUGGGAAAAUUAUUUACAUGAUAACAGCCACUUUUGUGUAGUUAUUCAGAAUAGUAAUCUUACCUGUACAUCAAUAAAGACACAGCAUGUAGG